UACGAAGGGGGCGAGCGUUGUUCGGAUUUACUGGGCGUAAAGGGCGCGCAGGCGGCUCAUUUUGUCAGGCGUGAAAGCCCCGGGCUUAACCUGGGAACUGCGUUUGAUACGGAUGGGCUAGAGUUCGGGAGAGGAGAGUGGAAUUCCCAGUGUAGAGGUGAAAUUCGUAGAUAUUGGGAAGAACACCGGUGGCGAAGGCGGCGCUCUGGACCGAUACUGACGCUGAGGCGCGAAAGCGUGGGGAGCAAACAGG
rnacentral:rRNA from 1 species